rnacentral:lncRNA from 10 species
CACAGCAACUUGCUCUCCUGGCUGGCUUCCCGCACCACCUGCAGCGCCACCCCGCGGCCGCCCGUGGCCUGUUUCACAAAUAAGACCCACUUGCUGCCUGAAAAUUGUUUGGCAGAGAUACUGUCACUUGUGUGAAUUUACAUUCUUAAGCGGCAGGGAAAUCAUGGCAUCAUGGUUAGAAUUUGUUAUCUAGUGAGGGAGAAUGAGACAGCUAUAAAGAUACCAGCCACUGAACACUCCAUCAAGGGAUCCCACAGAAGACACAUCCCUCCAUUACUUGCUUCUUGGUUCAUACCAAAACCAGGGAACUAAAGAAUCAUCAAGGGCCCCUGGUGGUUGCUCUCAUGUGAGUGUCCAAAGCACUGGAGCAGUGUUGUCCAAUACAUUCUGUGAUGAUGCCGUGUAUACAGUGACGUGCCCUGUCUAUGCACUGACCAAUACAGUGUAGCUACUGUGCCCUUGGAAUGUGGCUGGUGGGACAGCAGAACCGAAGUUUUGGCUGUAAUCAUUUUAAUUAAUUAAAAUAAAAUUGCCACACAUGG